UACGUAGGGGGCAAGCGUUGUCCGGAUUUAUUGGGCGUAAAGAGCGUGUAGGCGGCCAAACAGGUCCGUUGUGAAAACUGGAGGCUCAACUUCCAGACGUCGACGGAAACCGUGUGGCUAGAGUCCGGAAGAGGAGAGUGGAAUUCCUGGUGUAAGCGGUGAAAUGCGCAGAUAUCAGGAAGAACACCAAUGGCGAAGGCAGCUCUCUGGGACGGUACUGACGCUGAGACGCGAAAGCGUGGGGAGCGAACAGG
rnacentral:rRNA from 1 species